AGGAUGAACGCUGGCGGCGUGCCUAAUACAUGCAAGUCGAACGAGGUGCUUUUGUAGCAAUACGAGAGUAUCCUAGUGGCGAACGGGUGAGUAACGCGUUGGUGACCUACCCCAAAGUGUGGAAUAACAGUCCGAAAGGAUUGCUAAUACCGCAUGUGGUUAUCGGGCUUAGAAACUGAUAACUAAAGGAGCAAUUCGCUUUGGGAGGGACCUGCGUCCCAUCAGCUAGUUGGUGAGGUAACGGCUCACCAAGGCUACGACGGGUAGGGGACCUGAGAGGGUGACCCCCCACAAUGGAACUGAAACACGGUCCAUACACCUACGGGUGCAGCAGUAGGGAAUAUUGCACGAAUGGGG
rnacentral:rRNA from 1 species